GACGAACGCUGGCGGCGUGCCUAAUACAUGCAAGUCGAACGCAGUUGGGACGGGUGAGUAACACGUGGGUAACCUCCCAUCAGAGGGGAUAACACUUGGAAACAGGUGCUAAACCGAUCGUGAUGGAUGAACCCGCGGUGCAUUAGCUAGUUGGUGAGGUAACGGCUCACCAAGGCCACGAUGCAUAGCCGACUUGAGAGGGUGAUCGGCUACACUGGGACUGAGACACGGGCCAGACUACUACGGGAGGCAGCAGUAGGGAAUCUUCGGCAAUGGACGAAAGUCUGACCGAGAAACGCCGCGGUAAUUC
rnacentral:rRNA from 1 species